AAGGGCUUAGGAUACAAAAGACCAAGGACCUUCAAAGCCCUAAGCAGAAGUGAAAACCUUCUAGCCCUUG
rnacentral:tRNA from 1 species